AGGUAGAAGGAAUCCACCGACUGCGAGACUAGGAAGGCCACCAAAAUCGGGUCUAAAAGAACGCCGUGACAUUGGGCACCUCCAACGUCGACUCUUAAACCGGACACCGCAUCUGUCUGCUGACCAAUGAGGACUAACCUAUGAACAAUGAUGCGGAGGCCGACGAUUCAUUCAGUCGUAGUGGCACAAAUUUCGAAAUGGAUCUCAACAAACCAAAUG
rnacentral:lncRNA from 1 species